UGGCUCAGGACGAACGCUGGCGGCGUGCCUAAUACAUGCAAGUCGAGCGAACCGACGGGAGCUUGCUCCCUUAGGUUAGCGGCGGACGGGUGAGUAACACGUGGGUAACCUGCCUGUAAGACUGGGAUAACUCCGGGAAACCGGGGCUAAUACCGGAUGCUUGAUUGAACCGCAUGGUUCAAUUAUAAAAGGUGGCUUUUAGCUACCACUUACAGAUGGACCCGCGGCGCAUUAGCUAGUUGGUGAGGUAACGGCUCACCAAGGCGACGAUGCGUAGCCGACCUGAGAGGGUGAUCGGCCACACUGGGACUGAGACACGGCCCAGACUCCUACGGGAGGCAGCAGUAGGGAAUCUUCCGCAAUGGACGAAAGUCUGACGGAGCAACGCCGCGUGAGUGAUGAAGGUUUUCGGAUCGUAAAACUCUGUUGUUAGGGAAGAACAAGUACCGUUCGAACAGGGCGGUGCCUUGACGGUACCUAACCAGAAAGCCACGGCUAACUACGUGCCAGCAGCCGCGGUAAUACGUAGGUGGCAAGCGUUGUCCGGAAUUAUUGGGCGUAAAGCGCGCGCAGGCGGUUUCUUAAGUCUGAUGUGAAAGCCCCCGGCUCAACCGGGGAGGGUCAUUGGAAACUGGGGAACUUGAGUGCAGAAGAGGAGAGUGGAAUUCCACGUGUAGCGGUGAAAUGCGUAGAGAUGUGGAGGAACACCAGUGGCGAAGGCGACUCUCUGGUCUGUAACUGACGCUAGCGC
rnacentral:rRNA from 1 species